ensembl:lncRNA
GUCGUGUCCUCGCUGCGUAUCUCGAGCUGUGAAGAGUCCAGACAGAAGAAGAAGAACCGCGUUCUGAGGACAUGCGAGGUAAUGAAUGAAUGAAUUAAUGUCUUGAUGUCGGUGUUUGUAUCAUUUGGUCAAACGCAUCCGUCCUCCUGCUGGAGUCAAAUUAAAGAUGAAAUCCUACUUUAAGGGUUCUGAACAGAAGAUGGUUCCGUGAGUUCCUGCCGCUGUCUUUAAGGAGUGUUUUAGUUCGUAGAGGGUUAAUGAACUGGUCCACACUCCAGUACAGGACGUGCAGGCUGAUGGUACCCAGACAAAACUAAACGAAUCUUUAUUAAAUACUUGUCUUUAAUAAAGGUGCAUUUUUAUUUGUACUCUUUAUUCUGGUGUUUAUAGAUGCAAUGUGUGUGUUGGGAUUACAAAUGUAGCAGUUACGCAUAAUCAAAUACUAAGAAGUGGCAGAAUAAGCAGCUUUUACCGUCAAUUCAGUGCGGAUCUUCAACAUGUUGCACAACUCUGCUGUGCACGUGAAACCGGCCAGUAAUCACGUGACGUGUCCAACAUGGACCAAUUCAUAUCCAGAUGUUACUGGACAAAUAAUCUACCAAUCAGUAAGUCGGCAACUAUUUCGUGUUUAAUAUUAAACUGAUAAGUUUAGGAGGGCGGCACGGUGGCGUGGUGGUUAGCACUGUUGCCUCACAGCAAGAAGGUCCGAUUCCGCCCAGUGGCCUUUCUGUGUGGAGUCUGCAUGUUCUCCCCGUGUCUGCGUGGGUUCUCUCCGGGUUCUCCGGCUUCCUCCCACAGUCCAAAGACAUGCUCUGGGGAUCAGGUUAAUUGGGGACUUUAAAUUGCCCGUAGAUGUGUGAAUGUGAGUGUGAAUGGUUGUGUGUCUCUGUGUAGCCCUGCGAUUGGCUGGCGACCAAUCCAGGAUGUACCCUGUCUAUCGCCCGAAGUUGGCUGGGAUGGACUCCAGCCCCCCCGCGACCCUGUGUGCAGGAUAAGCGGUUUGACAAUGGAUGGAUGGAAACAAAGUCUGAAGAGAUGUAAAGACAUUGUUUCCUGAUGUGAUGAUGAUGAUGAUGAUGAUGAUGUUUGAGCCUCUUCUCCUCCGUCUCCUCUCACAGGGAGGAGAUGAUCUGCAGCAUCCUGGUGAUCUUCAUCCUGACCUCCUGUGUCUGUGGUCAGUUCACUUUUGUGUUUGUGAAGCAGCUGUGAAGCAUCAGCACACACUCCUCAGAAACAUCUGGAGAUGGAGUCUAAAGGCUCCAUGUUAAAGCUGUCACUUUGUCACCUCCUCCUCUCCUUCUCUGUCUCCUCAGCAGGGUCAUUUGUAGUGAAUGUGACACAGAGCUGGUAUCAUGCAGAGGAGAACCACAACAUCUCACUGGAAUGGAUGUUCCCCACCAGCACGGACCCCUCCCCCAACGUCCUUCAUGUCUCCUGUGAGACGGUAAUUAAUCAGAUACACUCAGUCCUGUUUCAUCUGUAUGAAGGUGUCGAGGUACCAGAGCUGCAGGAUGAACGCUUUGCAGGACGAGUCCAGUGGGACAAAGACGUCCUCAGAGAAGGACGACUCAGACUUCACAUCUCCAGACUCCAGACUAAUGACUCGGGGCUGUACUGGUGUCAAGUGGACACAAGUUAUGGGAGGAACUAUAAGGAAUGUCACCUCAAGGUCACUGCAGCGAAGGAUCGACCCGAACCUGAGACAACGAGUGACACCAGACUGACAAGGAUCGUUCUCUACUGUGCUCUGGGACUGACAGCAGCUCUACUGGUUGUUUAUUCAUUCUAUCGCUGCUUUACCAAAAGGAUGAGAGAUCAGUACAACAAACAAUACAUCUAAACCACAAUUAAAGUUAUUGAUCCUUUAAGGUUUUGCACAGAAACAGUCUGAGUUGUUCUGACUGAAGUCCAGCUGAGACACAUCUGGAUCUUUGGAUGUCUCCUGUGUGUCUCAUGGACCAACAGCAGCAUGAAGGUAUCAGUGAGUCUACAGAGACACGUGUGACUCAGGGAGCCCAGCUGGUGAACGCUGAGCCCUCGUUGUGUGUGUGAAGGUCAGUUAGUUUAGUUUCAUCAGGACCAAACUGAAAUAUAUAUUUUUUCAAUAAAGCAUCUUAAAAACCCAAAUCAGUGUCUUCAUUUGUCGUAUUAAUUCAAUAAGUCACAUAGUGAUCAAAUCCAUCCUCAAUACUACAAACGUGUCACAUGAAGGUAAAUGUUAAGAG